rnacentral:rRNA from 1 species
UGGGGAAUUUUGGACAAUGGGCGAAAGCCUGAUCCAGCAAUGCCGCGUGUGUGAAGAAGGCCUUCGGGUUGUAAAGCACUUUUGUCCGGAAAGAAAUCCUUGGCUCUAAUACAGUCGGGGGAUGACGGUACCGGAAGAAUAAGCACCGGCUAACUACGUGCCAGCAGCCGCGGUAAUACGUAGGGUGCAAGCGUUAAUCGGAACUACUGGGCGUAAAGCGUGCGCAGGCGGUUUGCUAAGACCGAUGUGAAAUCCCCGGGCUCAACCUGGGAACUGCAUUGGUGACUGGCAGGCUAGAGUAUGGCAGAGGGGGGUAGAAUUCCACGUGUAGCAGUGAAAUGCGUAGAGAUGUGGAGGAAUACCGAUGGCGAAGGCAGCCCCCUGGGCCAAUGCUGACGCUCAUGCACGAAAGCGUGGGGAGCAAACAGGAUUAGAUACCCUGGUAGUCCACGCCCUAAACGAUGUCAACUAGUUGUUGGGGAUUCAUUUCCUUAGUAACGUAGCUAACGCGUGAAGUUGACCGCCUGGGGAGUACGGUCGCAAGAUUAAAACUCAAAUGAAUUGACGGGGUCAUAGCUGUUUCCU